AACUCGAAAAAAAAGUUAAAAGAACACAAAAAUGGAGUAGUGUCCUCCUCCAGUCCUCCUCGGCCUUUCCCCCCGCCACAAAACCCUAGAGCGCGAAUGGGGCGGCAGGUGCGCAAGCACGAGGGCUCGCACGGCAAGGUGGACGCGCCGCCGCCGAAGAAGCCGAGGAGCACCGAGCGGCCAUUGGCACCGCUCGCCGCCGCCACGACGACCGCCAAGCCAAGGCGUGACGUGGUGAGACCCGCGGCGAGGAAAUCCUCGGCUUCGAGCGAUCGCGGCCCCGUCGCCCCCGGCAGCGACCUCGAGACGGAAGAUUCAGAUGGUCUUGGCUGCUUGACCCCUGACAGCACGAAAGCUACGCUUCAGCAGGAUGAUUAUGGGAAAGGGGAGUACUCUCCGGGUGUGGUUCUAUCUAAGACUGAUUCUGUGGUGAAGAUGGCAGUAGCUGAUGUACAGGACCUGCCUGUUGAAGAUUUGAGGGAUAAUGAAGUGAUCACUGUGGAUAGUGAAGGCCCUGGCAAGCCUCUCCAGUCAAUUCCCCUUGUUCAAGACAAGGAUGCAAUACAACUUGCGAGAACUUUUGUCAAUGAGAAAGUCAAAGAGCUAAUGGAAGGUGUCUCAGAGCCAGGAGUCCUGCAGAGUCGUUUGUCUAAAAUCACCUCAUUCCUUGUUCAGGCCACCUCUAUAGCUGCCGGCCUCCAUGAUGAAGUCCCUCUACAAAUACGUGGACAAACUGCUGCUUUGGUGACCCAAAUCUCAGGGCUUGAGCAGCAGGUGGAGGAGCUGUCCAAGAAGCUGUGUAGCACUGAGGAUGAGCUUGAGGUGACCAAUGCAAUGUUGAAAGAGACCCAGGCUGCCAUGCUAGAGGCACAAUCAGACCGAGCGACCGCCAUUACUGCCAUGAACAGCCUUGCCAUGCGCAUGGGAGCUUCAUUCGCUAGGCUGGGCACAAUACUGGACCCCCCACCCAAUGCGGCUGACUCUCUGGAGAAGAGCAUUAAGCAGAUGACAGCCCUCGUGUCUCUCCUCGGCCCUGUGUCUCACAGCCAUAGCUUGAGUCUAGCCAGGAGCAGCCUGACGGUUGGGAUUGCGGCAUUGCUGUGUCGAGAAAGGGGCAUUGAGGGCCUGCGCGAGCCGUCGGGUAUGGAUACCCGUCAGUUUGUCCGCUCGCAGGGGCCUGAGUUCCACUCCCUGAUCUCUCAAGUUGUCGACUCCAUGGAGCAGCGGUUGGCCAAGAUGGUUGAAGGCAGUGGAUGGAGAGAUUCUGGAGCUACCAAAGAGCCAGGAAAACCAGCAGACAGUAACAAAGGAACAAUGCCUGAACCGCAUUAAGUUAGGGUAGUUUCUUUUGAUCUCAUCUCUAGUAGUACUCUGAGAUGAGAUGGGCUGAUAGUAUCUGUUGUAGGGUGUAGCUCAGCUCACUGACUGCCAGUAUAGUAUGUACAGAGCUCUGGCAGUCUGGUACUCUGGUUCCGUCACCUUGACUUAUCCUAUCUAUGAAGUGAGCUGAAAGAGUGAUACAGAAGAAGUCUACUACACAGGUGGCUUUGAGGCGUAUAUUAGUAUUUGUGUAUCACAAAAGUGCAUAUUGUUGCCGCCUUGGUAGUCAAAUUAUCUUCUAUUUCACAUUGUUUACCAUAAUUUUGGAACAAAAUACUGCUGAUAUUACUUUAAGAUGACUUCAGUAAGCCCUACAAGCAUGUUGGUAGUCAAAUUGAAGUUAUGAUACCGAGUGUAUGAUGAACCAAUGGCAAGUAUGUUAUCCUUUUAGUGAAACAGUUUUUUCAGUA